rnacentral:rRNA from 1 species
GAUGAACGCUAGCUACAGGCUUAACACAUGCAAGUCGAGGGGAAACGACAUCGAAAGCUUGCUUUUGAUGGGCGUCGACCGGCGCACGGGUGAGUAACGCGUAUCCAACCUGCCCAUCACUUGGGGAUAACCUUGCGAAAGUAAGACUAAUACCCAAUGAUAUCUCUAGAAGACAUCUGAAAGAGAUUAAAGAUUUAUCGGUGAUGGAUGGGGAUGCGUCUGAUUAGCUUGUUGGCGGGGUAACGGCCCACCAAGGCAACGAUCAGUAGGGGUUCUGAGAGGAAGGUCCCCCACAUUGGAACUGAGACACGGUCCAAACUCCUACGGGAGGCAGCAGUGAGGAAUAGUGGGCAAUGGGCGAGAGCCUGAACCAGCCAAGUAGCGUGCAGGAAGACGGCCCUAUGGGUUGUAAACUGCUUUUAUAAGGGAAUAAAGUGAGAGUCGUGACUCUUUUUGUAUGUACCUUAUGAAUAAGGACCGGCUAAUUCCGUG